CUGUAAUUAUCUGUCCACCUCUCGUUCCUAUAUUGCAAAUACAAAUUCUGCAUAUAGAAUUCUAGAAACGCUGGAGUUUUCUGGAUAACGUAAUAGUUUCUUUUAAGUUACACUGAAAUAACUUGGGAAUAUCAAGUUCUCCUAGUGAUUUUUUUUUUUUUCUGUGCAUAUACACAUAUAAUGCUAUGUAUUUAUAUAUCUGACUUUUCCAGCUUGAAACUCUUACAAAAAGAGUUCUGUAGCAGAUCCAUCCUGAAAAAUAUCACCAGAAGUUGAAAUACAGCUGUAAUACGGUUGUGCCUAAAAUAUACCGCAGGUUUUCAGAAUAAUGCUUUAAAUGUCUAUUGAACUAGCAGUUUGAAUGCUGGCCUUGCGUCCCAUUCAGCCCUCAAGAUGAGUAUUGCUGGCAGCGUAUGAAUAGCAUGCUGUAGGUAGAAAAAUUUAUCUUGGAGGCAAUGAUGAUUUUUGUGUGAAGAAAUGAUGUUUUUAGGAGAGUCUGCCAUGUAUACGGAAUACCUAAAUUGGUAGUUAAGAUUGGAAGCUCAUGUAAGAACUCAGAAGCGGCAUUUUAAUAUUGAACAAAACAGUCUCUGGGCAGUAAUGGCUUUCCUGCAGUUUAACACUCCUACACAGUUUACGAUCUGCACCUGCUUAUUUGCGUUGGCAUCAAGAGAACAUAAUAAAUGGGAAAACCAGAGGUUUUAACUUUCAUGUCACCAAAUCUGUGCCAGUACUGGUGGCCUUAUGUGACUUGGUGGUUUGGAUCCAGUUUUGUGAUCACUGAGGUCAUAGAAGGGAAAAAAAAAGAACCUGUCUCUUUUGGAAAUUCAGAACUGUUUCUGGCAGUGUACGUUUUUUUUCUUGGUAGUAGAUUUCAUGGGACAAGUUUGGAGACAGUGUUCAAAUAGCUUGAAGAAAAGUCAUCUUGUCAGGGGCCCCUAGCACAAGAAGGACGUAGAAGUAUUAGAAGGAGAUCAGAGGAAGGCCACAACGAUGAUCAAGGCCUGGAGCACCUCUCCUAUGGAGACAGACUGAGGGAGCUGGGGUGGUUCAGCAUUUAUGCACGUUUUUUUUCUGAUUUCUUCUAUGGAAAAGUUACAGUACUUCAGUCUUCUGUCAGUCUAGGACUUCUCAUCCACAGAAGCUCAGCUAGUUGGAUGAUUUUUCGAUUAUUAAAUAAGGCUUUGAAGAAUCCACAGAUACCACGCAGGAUAGUCCUAAUUAUGUAGUGAUAAACUAAAUUUUAGAACAUGGAUAAUUUAAGUUGAAGUUGCCAUAAAAUUCCCCAGAAUUUUAAUGUGGUAUAUUCUGCCUUUUUGCUUUGCUUAAUUCACAUUACUAUAAAAUGUUUGGCUGUGUACCAGUUUACACAUAUGAAAGAUUUCUUCCACUUAGAGGCACUGUCUGCACCUAACACCGAGAGCUCAGUGUUGAGUUUUGGGUUUGGUUUCUCUAAGGAGAGCUGAGAUGUACCUUCUGAAAACAUUUCGGACGUGAAGAUAAUUGAGGAGAGAAGACAGUUUGAUCCUCUCCUGGAAGUAAUAGUAUUCAUAGUCAAUCGGAUAUGUUCCAUUCACAAUUUUGAGGAGAUUACUGAGAACUAAUAUAUGGGAAAUGUGUAGAUUGGUACUUCAACAGAACCUGUUUUCAGAAUAAAGUUCUAGUUAAGACAAAAGAAUCAUCCUGGAUGGAAUAAUUGGCUUUAUAGUAAUCAGUGUGAUCUGAACGGUGUUUUGUUCUACUGGGAGUUUAUUGUCCUCUCAUAUUUUCAAUUAUAUUUUUUUUGCAUGAAGGAAAGCUUUACAGUUGCUUGCCAUAUCGAAUGCUCUAUAGUCUUGCCUGAUUUUUUUACAUACUAUGUAGUUCUACAUGAGCUUUCUUUUAAUAAGUAGCUUCAAUAAAAUACUGCCAUCAGCAGAGUGAAUGUGUAGCUUGUAGUAUCUCUUACGCAUGGCAGUACCUGUGGGGAUUU